GUAGGGUGAGAAUCCCUGCCACGUUUUUGGUCAGUUUCGCCGGGGCUCAUGUCUUUCCUCGAGGGAGCAUUAGUGUCUACAGAAAAACUGACAAAUCCUAGCGAAGUCCAAUCCGAACCACAUCUUCCAUCAGAGGUGGUGCUGGGUCAGCUGAUUACUGAACGGAUUGGCCUGGAGAAUGGCAUAGUCCUGUUACUCUCAAGUUAACCAUAGAGGGGGACAGGCGCUGUUCGCUCACGGCUGGUUCUUGGAGCCAACACCCUCAGCCCCACAUAAGUGGGAGCACUGUCGGUGGUGGCUCACCCAGAUAACGGACAGUGUCUCUCCUUCUUUCUUCUUGGACUUGCAUUGUUGCUGGCGAGUCAGCCAGUAGCAAUGCAGCAUCUCACUCACUCAAUCACCUCGUCAAUUCGGUCCUUUUUUUUCAUUUGCAUUACUUUCGCUCAUUCUCCUGUCAUAAUGCAUUCUCUGCUACCAUAAUGCCUUUCUUACCACGGUGUAACGCAUGUUACACCUUGCGUCUUUCUCUAACACCAUCAUCAUUUCAGCAACCUUGGAAUUUCAACCCUACACAGGUACACAGCACUAUGGAUAUCCACUCUCCACUCUACGGCGAACACAAAGCUAGAGAUCUAAUUAGGAUUCGAGUACCCCGGCUACCCUUGUGACAUACAUACGUGGAAACCAGUUUAAGCAGCAGUACAUCAACACAAUGGAUCAGCACUACGAAAUCUGAUAUCUGCAUCAUACUACUCCGAUCCAGAAAUCUUCGCUAAACCAUCACAUGAGAUGAAUAACUACAAGUUGGACUCCACAUAACAUUAUUCCUUGUUCUGAUCAGUCAAUAAAUGUAAUCUGCAUCAAUUUUCCAAUAAUUACAUCUUCUUACUAGUUUAUUUUCCCUCUCAGGGCUGGAACGCAAUGUUACAGCCCACUUUAUAAAUUACUAAAACUCGAGUUAUUCCAGAUUGACGACUUGACACAGAUAUUCAUCAGACAACCUAAAUAAAGGACUCCCACUCUCCAAACCAGUAGAGAUCCAAUCACUGCCUCCAGGGUACCCCUUCAUCCGGUAUUAGCAGUUCCUCCACCACCACCAGGUUGAUCUGAUUAGUAAACUCAAGGAAGAUGAUACCAGAUCAGUCCCGAACUUCGCCUCAGCAUCAUACUCUGCCUAGUGUCGAUAAAGAGGAUUCACAAACAAUCGAGAUUCACUUACAAAUAUUUGCUAUUACUUUUUACAAUUGCAGUUAUAUUCGUUGUUUUAAUUAUCUCCAUCAACCUUGAAUCUGUCACUGCCCAUACUACAUUCCCAAAAUUAUCUUAGCGCUCUUUCAUCGUCAAACCCCACUAGUUCACUACAUACGCCAACCAAUAAACCUCAAUUAGGAUGGUUUUUGCAACACAUUCUACAAGCUUAGAACUUAUAAAGUAACAGCACCAUCAUAACCCACACAUUACCUUCGCACAAAUCAGCUAUUCCCCAUUCACUCACGAGCGUCGACAUAUCUCCGCAUGUACAUCUGUAAACUGGAGCGGCCCCCCGCGAUGCGGAGCAGGUGAGCUACCUGGUUCGGGCUACUUCACUUAUCAGAGUACGCUAGCUCCACAAUACACUCGCUUCAAGCCCUCAGAUUUGCACGCAUCCAUCACCUUCACAGGGCCGGCUGCCCACAUCCUGUAAAAUCCUGAUUCUAUAUGCUCGCGGGGUCUAUUACCUGUUUGAGCUCUAUUAUUACGCGCGCGUGCCCAGUGUACAGCUCACCGGCUUGCGCUGUCCUCUUGGCAUUGUUGUCGCCUUUAUGACCUUCAAAUCUAAAAGUAGGUUGAGGGCACUACAUGGGGUCUAGCGCUGCCCCGUGUCAAAAUACAUACAUACAUACAAGUAUAGCUUAACUGGCGAGCAAGCAUCCUCAUGAGAAAAGACAAUUUUUUGAGAAAAGACAAUUUUAUUAUUUAUCACCAAUUCAAUACAUAAUCAAUAAUAUAAAUAUAUAUCCGAAUAAAUUUGAUUAAAAAUUAAAUGAUACAAGUAUGCUAGCAGCUAGCGCGCUUAUAUUCGAUAAAUAUUCACGCUGUUAAAAUGGGUUUUACCACACCGCCACUCACAUUAGCACAGUUGGUGAACGGACCCAGGCGCUGUUAAGCUUUUAUGAGCCCUGGUUGACUGCUGAGAGUGGCGAAGGGGCUGAUAUUAAUUUUAUCUUAGUUUAACCUAGAUUCCAAUAAAAUUUUAGUUUUGUGUUAUAAUUAUCAAUUAUAUGAUUUUUAUGCGAUAUUUAAGUUACAGCUGCUCGCAAUACAUUAUUGCUUAAAAAUUGUUAAAUAUGCUCGCUAUACGCUUAAUUUUAGAUAUCGUAUGUAUAUAUACAUAUCAGCUCAUAAUACCAAAUAACAAUAAUAAAUAAAUUAAAAGCAUUGAAGAGGUCCAAAACCAAUUCAAGCAUGACACAAAGUUGAAUACAUUUUCAUCGGAAGCUGCAAGCUUAUUUAACGUUUGAUUCCGUACGUUCAUGAUCCGUUAUUAUGCAUUCACCUUCAGGCGGUGUCGACGGAUCAUGCGAAAAGGGUUUUUGACAGGCUGUGCCCUUACCAUAAUUAAACUGAACCAUUGCCUGAUACGAUGUAAACAAGAGUGUUGGAUAGGUGAGCCGCGCAAGCGCUCGCGCAUUUGUGUCGCUCUGACAAAUAGCACUUAAAUGAUUUAGCUACCAAGACGUAAAUCGCGCGUUACGUAAAGUAUUAUUUUUCCCUUCGGAUAAAGUGAACGUUACACCCGCGUGUAACCUGCUUUAAUGUUUUGUGUGCAUGUGUGGUGAGUGAGUGUAUAAUGUAAUGAUUGAAUGAAUCUUUUUUCUUUUGUGGUGCAUAUAUGAUGUGAGUGACAGGUGUAAAAUCUAAAAUAUAUAAAUAUAAAUGGGGGUCUUUUCAUAGGAAAGUGUUGAAGUUUAAGUCCUGCCAGUUAAUAUUGUCAGGUUGGUGUUGAGCCUUCAUGAUAGAAAGCUUCAAUCGGGAUU